rnacentral:rRNA from 1 species
UGGGGAAUAUUGGACAAUGGGCGAAAGCCUGAUCCAGCCAUGCCGCGUGUGUGAAGAAGGUCUUCGGAUUGUAAAGCACUUUAAGUUGGGAGGAAGGGCAGUAAGCGAAUACCUUGCUGUUUUGACGUUACCGACAGAAUAAGCACCGGCUAACUCUGUGCCAGCAGCCGCGGUAAUACAGAGGGUGCAAGCGUUAAUCGGAAUUACUGGGCGUAAAGCGCGCGUAGGUGGUUCGUUAAGUUGAAUGUGAAAGCCCCGGGCUCAACCUGGGGAAUGCAUCCAAAACUGGCGAGCUAGAGUAGGGCAGAAGGUGGUGGAAUUUCCCGUGUAGCGGUGAAAUGCGGAGGUAUAGGAAGGAACCACAGGUGCGAAAGCGACCACCUGGGGCCAUACCGACACUGAGGUGGGGAAGCGUGGGGAGCAAACAGG